CUUUGUUUCCCUGCUGCCCUGAACUAAGCAGCUUUGCUCUGCUGUGCUCUUCUGCCAUGACCUUCCUGCCCUGGAGCCGGCCAGCCACGGACUGAGUCUUCUGCAAGCGUACACAACAUUUCUUCAUGACAGGAAAAUAGUGUGGAUAUUUUAAGAAUUGAGACGGCUUGAACCACUGGAAGGACAUGAUAACAGAAGUAUUUACAAAAUCUCAUUCUGAACAUUCUUUAUGAGUGAGUGGUCUUUUUCACAAAACAUACUUUUUAUCACAAAUCAUCUGGAUUUAAUUUUCUAUCAUUUGCUAACCUGGUUCUACUUGAAAGGCAGCAAUAAAAACAAUGGGGUAAAUUCUACACAAUGCAGAGUGGGACUCUUUUGUCAAGAAGCCAAACAAGGACAGCUGGAUAAAACCCCACCCAGUAAAGGCUUUAUUGGAAGGCUUCAUAACUGCCUUCCUGCUACUUAGCAAAAGAGAGUAAGGGACCAAGUAUCUGAGGAGAAACAGCACUAUACAAAAGACUGAAGCUGUUGGUGGAUCUGAAUUGUGAGCAGCAACACAACACUCACUCCAAAGAACAGAGGGCCCUGGAGAACGGAAGAUACCCCAGCCACAGCAAGAAUUUGAGAGUAUGCUGGCCUGGCUGGAGUCUCCAUCUGGUACUGACACCCACUGGGAUCCUAGUAGCAAG